GAGCUUAUAACUCAGUGGUAGAGUGUACGCCUGAUAAGCGUAUGGUCAGUCGUUCAAUUCGAUUUAAGCUUA
rnacentral:tRNA from 1 species